AGGGUUUGAUUAUGGCUCAGAACGUACGCUGGCGGCACGCCUAACACAUGCAAGUCGAACGAAGUAGCAAUACUUAGUGGCAGACGGGUGAGUAACAUGCAGGUAUCUGCCCUUUGGCCUGGAAUAACACGAGGAAACUUGUGCUAAUACCGGAUAAGUCUUUACGGAGAAAGCUUUAUGCACCAUUGGAUGAGCCUGCACAUGAUUAGUUUGUUGGUAGGGUAAUGGCCUACCAAGACUGUGAUCAAUAGCUGAUUUGAGAGGAUGAUCAGCCACAUUGGGACUGAGACACGGCCCAAACUCCUACGGGAGGCAGCAGUGGGGAAUCUUGCACAAUGGAGGAAACUCUGAUGCAGCGAUGCCGCGUGAGUGAAGAAGGCCUUUGGGUUGUAAAGCUCUUUCGUCGGGGAAGAAAAUGACUGUACUCGAAUAAGAAGGUCCGGCUAACUUCGCGCCAGCAGCCGCGGUAAUACGAAGGGACCUAGCGUAGUUCGGAAUUACUGGGCUUAAAGAGUUCGUAGGUGGUUGAAAAAGUCGGUGGUGAAAUCCCAGAGCUUAACUCUGGAACUGCCAUCAAAACUUUUCAGCUAGAGUUUGAUAGAGGAAAGCAGAAUUUCUAGUGUAGAGGUGAAAUUCGUAGAUAUUAGAAAGAAUACCAAUUGCGAAGGCAGCUUUCUGGAUCAUUACUGACACUGAGGAACGAAAGCAUGGGUAGCGAAGAGGAUUAGAUACCCUCGUAGUCCAUGCCGUAAACGAUGUGUGUUAGACGUUGGAAAUUUAUUUUCAGUGUCGCAGCGAAAGCGAUAAACACACCGCCUGGGGAGUACGACCGCAAGGUUAAAACUCAAAUGAAUUGACGGGGACCCGCACAAGUAGUGGAGCAUGUGGUUUAAUUCGAAGAUACGCGCAGAACCUUACCAACACUUGACAUGUUCGUCGCGACUUUAAGAGAUUAGAGUUUUCGGUUCGGCCGGACGAAACACAGGUGCUGCAUGGCUGUCGUCAGCUCGUGUCGUGAGAUGUUGGGUUAAGUCCCGCAACGAGCGCAACCCUCACUUUUAGUUGCCAUCAUUAAGUUGGGCACUCUGAAAGAACUGCCAGUGAUAAGCUGGAGGAAGGUGGGGAUGACGUCAAGUCCUCAUGGCCCUUACGUGUUGGGCUACACACGUGCUACAAUGGUAUCUACAACAGGAAGCAAAACGGCGACGUUAAGCAAAUCCUCAAAAGAUACCUCAGUUCGGAUUGCACUCUGCAACUCGAGUGCAUGAAGCUGGAAUUACUAGUAAUCGUGGAUCAGCGUGCCACGGUGAAUGCGUUCCCGGGUCUUGUACACACCGCCCGUCACACCAUGGGAGUUGGUUCUACCUUAAGGCAAGGUUUAAAACCCUUGACCACGGUAUAGUCAGCGACUGGGGUGAAGUCGUAACAAGGUAGCCA
rnacentral:rRNA from 1 species